rnacentral:rRNA from 1 species
GACGAACGCUGGCGGCGUGCCUAAUACAUGCAAGUCGAGCGAACAGACGAGGAGCUUGUUCCUCUGACGUUAGCGGCGGACGGGUGAGUAACACGUGGAUAAUCUACCUAUAAGACUGGGAUAACUUCGGGAAACCAGUGCUAAUACCGCAUAAUAUAUUGAAACGCAUGGUUCAAUAGUGAAAGACGGUUUUGCUUUCACUUAUAGAUGGAUCCGCGCCGCAUUAGCUAGUUGGUAAGGUAACGGCUUACCAAGGCAACGAUGCGUAGCCGACCUGAGAGGGUGAGCGGCCACACUGUAGCUGAGACACGCCCCAGACUCCUACGGGGGGCAGCGGGGGGGAAUCUUCCGCAGGGGGCGAGAGCCUGAGAGAGCAACGCCGCGGGAGUGAUGAGUGUCCGCGGAGCGUAAAACUCUGUUAUGAGAGGAAAGCAGAUGUGUAAGUAACGAUGCUCGUCUGACGGGAACCGAAUAAGAAGGCCCCGCUAACUUCGUU